rnacentral:rRNA from 1 species
AACGAACGCUGGCGGCAUGCCUAACACAUGCAAGUCGAACGAGACCUUCGGGUCUAGUGGCGCACGGGUGCGUAACGCGUGGGAACCUGCCCUUAGGUUCGGAAUAACUCCCCGAAAGGGGUGCUAAUACCGGAUAAUGUCUUCGGACCAAAGAUUUAUCGCCUUUGGAUGGGCCCGCGUUGGAUUAGCUAGUUGGUAGGGUAAAAGCCUACCAAGGCGACGAUCCAUAGCUGGUCUGAGAGGAUGAUCAGCCACACUGGGACUGAGACACGGCCCAGACUCCUACGGGAGGCAGCAGUGGGGAAUAUUGGACAAUGGGCGAAAGCCUGAUCCAGCAAUGCCGCGUGAGUGAUGAAGGCCUAAGGGUUGUAAAGCUCUUUUACCCGGGAUGAUAAUGACAGUACCGGGAGAAUAAGCUCCGGCUAACUCCGUG